rnacentral:misc_RNA from 1 species
AGGGCGGCCAUUCCUUCAAGAGGACAAAAAGUAUGACGUGUAUCUAUCUUAUUCUGAGGAGGACUACCCAUGGGUAAGAAAGCAUAUUCUGUCCCACAUAGACGAAUGGGAAACCGAGGAGAACAGCGUUACUGCUUUUGGUACAUACAAAAUAUAUUGUAUGAUCGAGAUUCCCAUCAUGGCAAGUCGGAACUGGAGAAUAUGUGCGAAAAUAUUGAGCUGAGUCGAGUUGCUGUUGUUGUAUUGUCGAGCAGUUACACACAGAAACAUCUACACACAGUGGAACUAGAGCACCUUCUAUAUAGCAGGGAUAUAUCCGUUAUUCAGGAUAUCGUCAUCAUUAUGAUUGAAGAUCUCAAGUUCAAACAAAUUCCAACAGCCCUCCAUCACCAGAUAAAAAAAGACAAAUUCCUCCGAUGGGAGGCCGAUAAAACGAAAGAGAAGAAAUUUUACAGAGAUUUGAUGAGAUUUCUUAAGUGAUACUUUUUGUUUUCGUUGUUUCUUGUACUAAUAGUCAGAGAUCUCUAAAGACCUCUGAAUAUUUCCGCCGAUUUUUGACAUAUAAUGACUUUAGGAUGUAUUUUUGCAUUUUCAUAAUGAAAAAAAAUAUAUAUAUUAUUGAAAAUAAUUCUUUAAGACAUUGGGUUUUAGUGAAUUUCGCGAACAAAAUUACGAAAAAAUUAAUUUUACAUGGGAUCCCGAUUCCAAGCAGUUUACACUUGCAUUACUUUUUGGGAGGUUUUUAUAAAUUCUUUCAACAAAACCAACAUUUGAUAUAUAUACGUAGUUUCUUUAUACUGAGUUUUUAACUAAGGUGAAUGAUUUUUAUAUUU